rnacentral:rRNA from 1 species
CCUACGGGAGGCAGCAGUGAGGAAUAUUGGUCAAUGGACGAGAGCCUGAACCAGCCAAGUCGCGUGAAGGAUGACUGCUCUAUGGGUUGUAAACUUCUUUUAUAUGGGAAUAAAGUUCAGAACGUGUUCCGUUUUGUAUGUACCAUAUGAAUAAGCAUCGGCUAACUCCGUGCCAGCAGCCGCGGUAAUACGGAGGAUGCGAGCGUUAUCCGGAUUUAUUGGGUUUAAAGGGAGCGUAGGUGGUUGAUUAAGUCAGUGGUGAAAGUUUGCGGCUCAACCAUAAAAUUGCCGUUGAUACUGGGUGACUUGAGUACAGCUGAGGUAGGCGGAAUGCGUGGUGUAGCGGUGAAAUGCAUAGAUAUCACGCAGAACUCCGAUUGCGAAGGCAGCUUACUAAACUAUAACUGACACUGAAGCACGAAAGUGUGGGUAUCAAACAGGAUUAGAUACCCUGGUAGUC